rnacentral:rRNA from 1 species
UACGGAGGGGGCGAGCGUUGUUCGGAGUUACUGGGCGUAAAGCGCACGUAGGCGGUGCGGUAAGUCAGGGGUUAAAGGCUGCAGCUCAACUGCAGUAAGGCCUUUGAUACUAUCGUGCUAGAGUGUCAGAGAGGAUGGCGGAAUUCCCGGUGUAGCGGUGAAAUGCGUAGAUAUCGGGAGGAAGGCCGGUGGCGAAGGCGGCCUCCUGGGCCUGCACUGACGCUGAGGCGCGAAAGCGUGGGGAGCAAACAGG